rnacentral:rRNA from 1 species
GGCCGGAGCAGACCAACAGGGAUUGCCUCAGUAACGGCGAGUGAAGCGGCAAAAGCUCAAAUUUUAAAGCUGACAUCUUCGGUGUCCGCGUUGUAAUUUUGUGAGGCAUCUCCGGGUAGGGCGCUGGCCUAAGUUCCUUGGAACAGGACGUCACAGAGGGUGAGAAUCCCGUGCUUGGCUGGCUGUCCCCGUCCAUGUGAGGUGUCUUCGACGAGUCGAGUUGUUUGGGAAUGCAGCUCAAAAUGGGUGGUAAAUUUCAUCUAAAGCUAAAUAUUGGUGGGAGACCGAUAGCGCACAAGUAGAGUGAUCGAAAGAUGAAAAGCACUUUGAAAAUAGAGUUAAAAAGUACGUGAAAUUGUUGAAAGGGAAGCGCUUGAGACCAGACUUCGGUAAGGGGUGAUCAGCCGUCCUUUUGGGCGGUGCACUUGCCCCCCUCCGGGCCAGCAUCGGUUGAGGCGGCGGGAUAAAGGUCCCGGGAAUGUGGCUCCUUCACGGGAGUGUUAUAGCCCGGGUGAAUGCCGCCAGCUUCGACCGAGGACCGCACCCGCAAGGGUUAGGAUGCUUGGCAUAAUGGUCUUCAGCGACCCGUCUUGAAACACGGACCAAGGAGUCUAACAUCUAUGCGAGUGUUUGGGUGUCAAACCCUUGCGCGAAAUGAAAGUGAACGGAGGUGGGAACCCGCAAGGGCGCACCAUCGACCGGUCCCGAAGUCUUCUGAAGGAUCUGAGUAGGAGCAUAGCUGUUGGGACCCGAAAGAUGGUGAACUAUGCCUGAAUAGGGUGAAGCCAGAGGAAACUCUGGUGGAGGCUCGCAGCGGUUCUGACGUGCAAAUCGAUCGUCAAAUUUGGGUAUAGGGGCGAAAGACUAAUCGAACCAUCUAGUGGU